AUUGUUAAAGACAGAGAGAGAGAGGGGAGUGAUGAGGUAGUCAUUGAGACAGAGAGAGAGAGAGGGGGGUGAUGAGGUAGUCAUUGUUAAAGACAGAGAGAGAGGGGGGGGGUGAUGAAGUCAUUGUCAAAGACAGAGAGAGAGAGGGGGUGAUGAAGUCAUUGUCAAAGACAGAGAGAGAGGGGGUGAUGAGGUAGUCAUUGAGACAGAGAGCGAGGGGGGAGGGUGAUGAGGUCAUUGUCAAAGACAGAUCAGUCUGUGCUGCAUUAUUAAUCCAUAUGGAUAUUUAAAGAACCUCUACAUCCUGAAGGAGCUCAUCUGUUACUGUCUUCUCACUGAGGUGAAUAGGUAGAGACACAUUUAACACACACACCACCUGGCUCAUCGUUCCUAACAACAAAGGGAGACUGCCAAUGGCUUAAAUGGGAAAAGGAAUACAUAAAUAAAAAAUACGAAUAAAAUAAAUACUCAAAUGUAACAUAAGCUGUGGACGUAUGUUGGACCAGUAGCCUAUGCAGUGUGUGGAUGAGGAGAGAGAGUGUUGUCUGGUCGAAACAGACCAUCAAUCAAUAGGUGGAGGAAGUCAGCCUGCCAGUCAGGAAGGAGAGAGAGUGUUGUCUGGUGGAAACAGACCAUCAACCAAUAGGUGGAGGAAGUCAGCCUGCCAGUCAGGAAGGAGAGAGAGUGUUGUCUGGUCGAAACAGACCAUCAACCAAUAGGUGGAGGAAGUCAGCCUGCCAGUCAGGAAGGAGAGAGAGUGUUGUCUGGUCGAAACAGACCAUCAACCAAUAGGUGGAGGAAGUCAGCCUGCCAGUCAGGAAGGAGAGAGAGUGUUGUCUGGUGGAAACAGACCAUCAACCAAUAGGUGGAGGAAGUCAGCCUGCCAGUCAGGGAACAGAGACAGUGUUGGCUGAUGUGGCCACCAUUUAUAGCCUGCAGACCAAGCCUGCCAGUCAGGGAACGGAACGGAACGGAACGACAGACAGACAGACAGACAGACAGACAGACAGACAGACAGACAGACAGACAGACAGACAGACAGAC
ensembl:lncRNA